UACGUAGGGGGCAAGCGUUGUCCGGAUUUAUUGGGCGUAAAGAGCGUGUAGGCGGCUUGACAGGUCUGCUGUGAAAACUCGAGGCUCAACCUCGAGAUGUCGGCGGAAACCGUCUGGCUAGAGUCCGGAAGAGGAGAGUGGAAUUCCUGGUGUAGCGGUGAAAUGCGCAGAUAUCAGGAUGAACACCUAUGGCGAAGGCAGCUCUCUGGGACGGUACUGACGCUGAGACGCGAAAGCGUGGGGAGCGAACAGG
rnacentral:rRNA from 1 species